UGCUUUCACAGGUUUGCAGCCAACAUAUCUGCACCCCCCUCAUCCCAGCAUGGAUCCCAGGGGAACAGCCAGUCUUGUAUCUCACAGCCCCUCUUUAUCUCUCUCUCAAUGAGUGGCUGUGCUCCAAGGAAGAAGACAAGAAAAAGGAACCAGAAUGAACUGUGUCUUGAAUAUAGGCAUGCUGCUUGUUUUCUAGGAAAUCUAUGUGCCAAGACGCCAGGAAUACCCUGUCUCACAAUAGGGAGAGUAAGGUACCCCAGAGGACUACUGCAAAAGAUGCUCCUGAUCACUGGUACACACUGAUAGCUCUGUGGGCACGCUGCUCGGACAGUUCCUGUAUUCAUAAUAAUAAACCUAUUUACUAAGGAUGUGAUGGGAGGAUCAACAAUGCAUCGUCUGCAGUUUAGUCAAUGAGACCUGCUCCUCAAGGAACCGAGAAGAAGGAGGAAUCUUCCUGGGAGCUGGAAUCAGAAAGACGUUUAACUCUUGUAGAUAGUUCACAUUCCAAUUCUGAUCUGUCAUCUGUGGACCGUGGUCUGUGGGAAGAAAGAAUAUGAUUAUUGUGUGGGACUGAACAAAUUCUGAUUUCCAAAGGUUCAUAUAAGGUGAAUUGUUACUAGAUGAAUCUAAGCUGCGUUCACAUACUAUAUACAGUGCAAAACAAUCUAUUGGUGAGCUAGUAUUUUUCUUUUUGGUUAAUUGAUUAGAAAGCAGAUGCUUUAUUAGAUAGCAAUUUUCUUCAGUUUUCCAAUUUUGGGUCUGGCACUAUUGUAGUAUUGGCUCUCUAUUCAUGCAGGCGUUUCUGUUUCCAGUCUUUAUAUAUAUAUAUAUAUAUUUUUAACUCACUUGCUUAUUUUUAUUUAUUUAAACACCAUUUAUUCCAGGGCGCUGUACAUAUGAAAAGGGUGUAAAUACAUAAUACAAAAACAAGUAAAAUAAGUGUGAACAAGAUGAGUUACAAACCGGUAGAGAAGGAGAGAGGACCCUACCUGUGAGAGCUUAUGAUCCAUAGUAAACUUUUGGGUCCAGAAAUCAAACCAGAAUUAAACUACCUAGGACAUUUUGAUGCAAACUAAGGCCUCCUUCAUAUAUGUCUGACCCCUCAGCUUUUUUACUCUCUGACUUAUCACCCAAAAAAGCUGGAGGGAAACUGAUGAUGACAUAUGCCCUAUAGUUUUCUAUACAGUUUUGUAUGUGAUGGCGUUGGAUGCUGCCCUGACCUCGACAGAAAAAUGUGACAUGUAAUGAUGAUCAGUUAUUUUCACAUAAAAAGCUGCAAACAUUAAAAAUUGUACUAAUAAUACUAAUAACUAUGAUGAUGGAAGAAAUGGUGCAACAAUUCCAUUAAAUAUACCUAUUAGCAUAUACAGUAUAAAGUUAUUAUUUAUAAAACUUAUAGUAACAUCAGUCACACUGUAAACAUAUUAGUUAUGAGAUUAUUAUAUGAAAUAUUAAUGUCAUCUGUUACAAAUAUUCAUUAAUUCUACAUUUUCAUCUCCAGCAACAGUUUUAUAUAAUAACCUAACUUCAACUAAGAAAAUAAAAUGGGUUCACCUCAAUCUAAGCAAACAUCUGGGACAAGCUACCAGGUCUUCGCAUCUAGUGUAGUUCAGUACAUCUCUUUGUGUCUGUACUGUAAUAUUGUGAAUAAACCAUUCCAAACUAUUGAUGUUGCGUAAUUUUAAAAAAUGUCCUGUUUUUCCAAUUUUCUCCAACAGUUUGUAUCAGCAUUGUUUAUUCAAUGUGCUAAUGCAUGAUUGCAUAAUGGUUAGGACAUCAUUUCCUAUUACUACCCUUUGAAAAUAUCAUAAGAAAAAUGAGAAACUGAAUAUUCUUCAGCACUUUAAUAAAAAUCAUAAGUAGGUCAUAUGUUUUAUAUUGAGCAGUGUGUUUUGAACAGUAUUGGAGGGAUGUGUUAGCACUUAUGUGAAUUUUAUAUAAUGUCAUGUAUAAGCUACUAAUAUACUGCAUUG